AUGUGUGUGUUCUUGAGAGAAACUACAAGUGAGAGUUGUGUGAGGAAGAAGAAGAAGCGGCGCUGCGGAGGAGGUGGCGCCAACAGGCUGGACUCGGUGCUCGACCCGAGGCUCGCCGGCGAGUCACGCACCUGCAGGGACGAGAUGCGCAAGGUCCUCGACGUCGCGCUCCUCUGCGCCUCCAGCCUCCCGAUCGAUCGGCCGUCCAUGAGGUCCGUUGUGAAACAGCUGCUCGAGGUCAGCAACCCCGUCGUCGCUGUGGUCGACUGGUCGUGGAGGACAAGGAACCUCUUCAUGUGUGAUCCAUGUAUGGCCAUGUCUCAGAAAGCAAUGCUAGUUUGGUAG
rnacentral:rRNA from 1 species